AUUACUUUUCAGUCUUCUGGCUAAGAUCAAGUGUAUUACCUUCUUAUCAGUCUAAUAUCUGAUAUGCUCUUUAAUCCAUAUAUUAAAUGGAUUUUUGGAGAAGGGAGAUGAAUAGGAGCUUGCUCCAUCCAUUUCACACAUAGACCUGGUAUUACAAUAACUGCAGGAAUAGUGCGCCCCAC